rnacentral:rRNA from 1 species
GACGAACGCUGGCGGCGUGCUUAACACAUGCAAGUCGAACGGACAGACCCUGCUUUUGUGGCGUGCUCGAGUGGCGAACGGGUGAGUAACACGCGAGUAACCUGCCCUUGACUUUGGGAUAACUUCAGGAAACUGGGGCUAAUACCGGAUAGGAGCUCCUGCUGCAUGGUGGUGGUUGGAAAGUUUCGGCGGUUGGGGAUGGACUGGAGGCUUAUCAGCUUCUUGGGAUGGUAGUGGCGUACCAAGGCUUUGAAGGGUAGCCGGCCUGAGAGGGUGACCGGCCACAUUGGGACUGAGAUACGGCGCAGACUCCUACGGGAGGCAGUAGUGGGGAAUAUUGCGCAAUGGGCGGAAGCCUGAUGCAGCAACGCCGCGUGCGGGAUGACGGCCUUCGGGUUGUAAACCGCUUUCGCCUGUGACGAAGCGUGAGUGACGGUAAUGGGUAAAGAAGCACCGGCUAACUACGUG